AAAAAAUAAAAAAUUAAUGUGCGGAUGGUUGGCAAUGGGAUUGGAGUUGGGGAAGAAAUCUCUUCCAAUGGGAAUGUGGAAUGCAUAAAGAAUUUGAAAUUUGUUGAGAUUAAGUGUGGGUGAUUAGUUUCACAUCGAUUAUGAAUUAUGGAUAAAAUGUUGAAUAUAAGAGAUGUGGUUUGUAUAUCUAAUGUUUUAAAAUUUUGGAUAGAGAUGUAACAUCUCUUAUAAUCUUGGAGCGUUAACUUGUUGCUCUAAAUGCUCCUCUGAUAUCUCUAACAAGUGUUACGGAGUCUGGUUCAACUUAGUGGAAAAGCGGAAGUAAGGUUAGGUUUUUGAUCAAGUAUAGUGAUGUGGAAAAAGGAACGCCUACAACACUACAUGAGUGUGCUGAUACAACCAUGCUCUUGAUGGGAGAUCGCUGAAUUCAAGUGUGAAUGAUUAGUCACGUUGACUAUGGUUGUUGUUAUCUAUGAAGCCAUUAGUGUUUUACAAUAAGAUAAUUUUUGAUGGACAAGUGGCAUCUUUUGAUGGAAUUAUUGCGUAAAUUAAAUUAGUGUCUUGGGUUUGUUCCGCUAAGUGUAGUAAAUGUAAUGUUCAAUUUUUCGAUUGGUUUUCUAAACAUUUACAGAAGAUUGUAAGUUUAUGAUAAAUGAUUUUGCCGUCUAAAAAUGUUUAGUGACAUAGGUUUUUUUUUUUUUUACAAGUAGUGACAUAGGUUCUUGUCCGCAUGCUUUUUACUCAUGUGUAUUUUUUUUUAUAUAUAUAUAUAUACAAUUAAUAUACUUGAUUCUUUG
rnacentral:lncRNA from 1 species